rnacentral:tRNA from 1 species
GGAGCGUUCGUAUAAUGGUAGUACCUCUGCCUUCCAAGCAGAUAGUGCCGGGUCAGAACCGGUACGCUCCUCCA